rnacentral:tRNA from 1 species
UGGGGGAUCGUCUAGUGGUAGGACAAUGGACUCUGGAUCCAUUGGCGAGGGUUCAAAUCCUUCUCCCCCAG